AGCGAACGUUAGCGGCAGGCCUAACACAUGCAAGUCGCGCGAGAAUGGGGCUUCGGUUCCUAGUAAAGCGGCGGACGGGUGAGUAACACGUGGAUAAUCUGCCCUUCGGCGGGGGACGAACAGUCCGAAAGGAUUGCUAAUACCGCGUAAGUCGGCGAGGUCUUCGGAUCUUGUCGGGAAAGAUGGCCUCUUCAUGAAAGCUAUCACCGAAGGAUGAGUCCGCGUCCCAUCAGCAGUUGGCGGUGUAAGAGACCACCAAGGCUAAGACGGGUAGCUGGUCUGAGAGGAUGAUCAGCCACACUGGAACUGAGACACGGUCCAGACUCCUACGGGAGGCAGCAGUGGGGAAUAUUGGGCAAUGGGCGCAAGCCUGACCCAGCCAUGCCGCGUGAGUGAUGAAGGCCUU
rnacentral:rRNA from 1 species